UACAGAGGUCUCAAGCGUUGUUCGGAUUCAUUGGGCGUAAAGGGUGCGUAGGCGGCGCGGUAAGUCGGGUGUGAAAUCUCGGAGCUUAACUCCGAAACUGCAUUCGAUACUGCCGUGCUUGAGGACUGGAGAGGAGACUGGAAUUUACGGUGUAGCGGUGAAAUGCGUAGAUAUCGUAAGGAAGACCAGUGGCGAAGGCGGGUCUCUGGGACGGUACCGACGCUGAGACGCGAAAGCGUGGGGAGCAAACAGG
rnacentral:rRNA from 1 species